rnacentral:rRNA from 1 species
CCUACGGGCGGCAGCAGUCGAGAAUCAUUCACAAUGGGGGAAACCCUGAUGGUGCGACGCCGCGUGGGGGAAUGAAGGUCUUCGGAUUGUAAACCCCUGUCAUGUGGGAGCAAAUUAAAAAGAUAGUACCACAAGAGGAAGAGACGGCUAACUCUGUGCCAGCAGCCGCGGUAAUACAGAGGUCUCAAGCGUUGUUGGGAAUCACUGGGCGUAACGCGUGCGUAGGCUGUUUCGUAGGUCGUGUGUGAAAGGCGCGGGCUCAACCCGCGGACGGCACAUGAUACUGCGAGACUAGAGUAAUGGAGGGGGAACCGGAAUUCUCGGUGUAGCAGUGAAAUGCGUAGAUAUCGAGAGGAACACUCGUGGCGAAGGCGGGUUCCUGGACAUUAACUGACGCUGAGGCACGAAGGCCAGGGGAGCGAAAGGGAUUAGAUACCCGAGUAGUC